rnacentral:lncRNA from 1 species
CCCGGUCUCCUACGGGAGCCGGGCUCCGUCCUCAACGUCAACUGCUGGUAAGCCUCGUCCGGACUCCUACGGGAGCCGGACUUCGCCUUUAACUUUAAUUGCAGGAAGACUCCGCCCGGACUCCUACGGGAGCCGGGCUUCAUCCUCGACUCCAACGGCUGCAGAUAGACUUCGUCCGGACUCCUACGGGAGCCGGACUCC